GGCGGACGUGGGGCGGGGGACCCCUCGCAGCCACUCAGAGCAGCGACGUGGUCGCCGACUGGGCGGGGCGGGCCAGCCUGGCAUCGCCCCUGAGGCCGGGAGAAAGAAAACACCCCCUUGUCCCCGCCGCCCCCGCGCGCGUGGGGGAGCGCAUUCUGGCUGCCCGCGGGGGGCGGGAGACGGGGGCUGGGUGGGGGGCGCACGGCCCUUACCCCCACCCCCACCCCCGGCCCCCUGCCUCGGCCGGGGGGAACGGGGGCACGGUGCGGCCGAGCUGUUGGAGUCCGGGCGCCCCGGCGCCCCAGCGCCCCAGCCUGGCUUUUUUUUUUUUUUUUUUUUUUAAGUUAUUACGGAAACAUGAAUGUCGGGAAGCUAGCUCCCAGCCCGGAGCUUGAACUUGAACGCCUGCUGGCCCUCGCACACGACCACACCGCCACCUCCCGGCCGGGAACCCAGAUAAUGCACGUACCCAGCCGUGAACAAGAGAAACUGAAAAGGACAUCGAUCUUCACCAAAUCAUUGACAGAAACGGGGUCCGUGCCGUGGCAUCAGCCUCCCGGUUGCCCGUGGAUCCCUCUCCCGUCCUCUGCUGAGCACCCUCAGUCCUCAAGGUGGCCUGGACCACGUGGAAAGCCCUGGCUCUCCAGCCACAGUCGUCGUUCGUGUGAUCACACAUCUGACUUUGUGCCUCCAGUGCUCAACACCCUUCACUGGCUCCCCACUUCCAUCUGCGUGUGGUCCCCAAUCCGUAGCUCGGUGUGUGACACAGCCCCUGGCGGGUCAGAACCUGUAACGUCACCCCUCGCCAGGCUCCUCGGAUGCACAGCUUCGUUUUCUCGAGA